UACGUAGGGUGCGAGCGUUAAUCGGAAUUACUGGGCGUAAAGCGUGCGCAGGCGGCUAUUUAAGUCAGGUGUGAAAGCCCUGGGCUUAACCUAGGAAUUGCGCUUGAGACUGGAUAGCUUGGAGUGCGGCAGAGGGAGGUGGAAUUCCACGUGUAGCAGUGAAAUGCGUAGAGAUGUGGAGGAACACCGAUGGCGAAGGCAGCCUCCUGGGCCAGCACUGACGCUCAUGCACGAAAGCGUGGGGAUCAAACAGG
rnacentral:rRNA from 1 species